rnacentral:rRNA from 1 species
UACGGAGGGAACUAGCGUUGUUCGGAUUUACUGGGCGUAAAGGGCGCGUAGGCGGUUUAGUAAGUUAGAAGUGAAAGCCCGGGGCUUAACUCCGGAACUGCUUCUAAAACUACUAAACUAGAGUGCGGGAGAGGAUAAUGGAAUUCCUAGUGUAGAGGUGAAAUUCUUAGAUAUUAGGAGGAACACCAGUGGCGAAAGCGAUUAUCUGGAACGCAACUGACGCUGAGGCGCGAAAGCGUGGGGAGCAAACAGG